rnacentral:rRNA from 1 species
GACGAACGCUGGCGGCGUGCUUAACACAUGCAAGUCGAACGGAAAGGCCCUGCUUUUGUGGGUUGCUCGAGUGGCGAACGGGUGAGUAACACGUGAGUAACCUGCCCUUGACUUUGGGAUAACUUCAGGAAACUGGGGCUAAUACCGGAUAUGAGCUCCUGCUGCAUGGUGGGGGUUGGAAAGUUUCGGCGGUUGGGGAUGGACUCGCGGCUUAUCAACUUGUUGGUGGGGUAGUGGCUUACCAAGGCUUUGACGGGUAGCCGGCCUGAGAGGGUGACCGGCCACAUUGGGACUGAGAUACGGCCCAGAAGCCUACGGGAGGCAGCAGGGGGGAAUAUUGCACAAUGGGCGGAAGCCUGAGGCAGCAACGCCGCGUGCGGGAUGACGGCCUUCGGGUUGUAAACCGCUUUCGCAGGUGACGAAGCGUGAGUGACGGUAAUGGGUAAAGAAGCAACGGCUAACUACGUG